rnacentral:rRNA from 1 species
GACGAACGCUGGCGGCGUGCCUAAUACAUGCAAGUAGAACGCACAGUUUAUACCGUAGCUUGCUACACGAUAGACGGUGAGUUGCGAACGGGUGAGUAACGCGUAGGUAACCUGCCUGGUAGCGGGGGGAAACUAUUGGAAACGAUAGCUAAUACCGCAUAAUAUUUAUUAUUGCAUGAUAAUUGAUUGAAAGAUGCUAUUGCAUCACUACCAGAUGGACCUGCGUUGGAUUAGUUAGUAGGUGAGGUAAUGGCUCACCUAGGCGAGGAUACAUAGACGACCUGAUAUGGUGAGCAGCCGGACUGAGAGGGUGACACGCCCCAGACGCCUUCGGAAGGCAGCCGGAGUGAUUCUUGGGCAAGGGGCGAAAGACUGUGCAAGCAACGCGGCGGGAGGGAAGAAGGUUGUCGGAUCGGAAAGGUCGGUUGUAAGGGAAGAACGGGUGUGAGAGUGUAAAGAUCACACUGUGACGGUAUCGUACCAGAAAGCGACGGCUAACUACGUG